UCCUCUCUUUUCUUUUGCGUAAAGAAGGGAUUUUAAUUCAACAUCGAGGUCAUAAACUCACUUGUCAAUUUGAUCUUUCUAAGUGAAUAAAGCUGUUAUCCCUAAAGUAACUUAUUCCUUUUUUAGAAAUUCUAGGUAUUUAAACAAGUUUGUUUUUAAACUUAAGAAAAGACUUUUUUCCCACCGCCCCAGUGAAAUACUUUUUCCACUUUUUAUAGGAGAGAAGUAUAAAGUUUUAUAGGGUCUUCUUGUCUAAAAGAGCUAUCUUAGCCUUCUUACUAAAAAGUUAAGUUCAUUUUUAAAAAUAAAAAGAAAUCCUCUUGGUUUACUCCUUCAUUCCAGUCUCAAAUUAAAAGA
rnacentral:rRNA from 1 species